GACGAACGCUGGCGGCGUGCUUAACACAUGCAAGUCGAACGGUAAGGCCCUUCGGGGUACACGAGUGGCGAACGGGUGAGUAACACGUGGGAGAUCUGCCCUGCACUUCGGGAUAAGCCUGGGAAACUGGGUCUAAUACCGGAUAGGACCCUGGGAUGCAUGUCCUGGGGUGGAAAGCUUUUGCGGUGUGGGAUGGGCCCGCGGCCUAUCAGCUUGUUGGUGGGGUGAUGGCCUACCAAGGCGACGACGGGUAGCCGGCCUGAGAGGGUGACCGGCCACACUGGGACAGAGAUACGGCCCAGACUCCUACGGGAGGCAGCAGUGGGGAAUAUUGCACAAUGGGCGCAAGCCUGAUGCAGCGACGCCGCGUGAGGGAUGACGGCCUUCGGGUUGUAAACCUCUUUCAGCACCGACGAAGCGAAAGUGACGGUAGGUGCGGAAGAAGGACCGGCCAACUACGUGCCAGCAGCCGCCGUAA
rnacentral:rRNA from 1 species